UGUGGACGCGGGGAGAGCAGUCACAUUUUCAGUUCCCUGGGCUAAGCUGUGCAGGACCCUUGGAGGUCCUGUUUGCAUAGAUCAGGCUGAUGGGAGAAGAAAAUCGGGGGAUUCUGACCCGGUUACUCCCCAGCUGUGGGAUCCAAGUGGCUUUCUGAAUUGCAAGGCAGCCUUCAGGAAAGCAGCAGCAUGAAGAAAUGGGCUGGGAGGGAAGCUGGAGUCUCCUGGGGAUGCCUCGCAUUGUUCUUGCCCAGCUCUCGUCACUGUCACUAACUCCGUUCUGUGGCGUGUGCGGGGAGGCAGAGGAGCUCGGCCAAGCCUUGUCAGUGUUAAUUGCAGGGUGGCAUCGACGGAGCAUCUUGGUGACAGGUGCCUGGAGUCCCCAGCUCCCCCACAAUCCGUUCAGAUCUUCGCAGUCUCCUCCUCCCUGCUACCUCCACCCCCACGGCCGGCGGAAUAAUACAGCCAUCCUUUCUCCUUUCAGAGUAGGCUGCUGAGAGCUCCGUGCUCGCUCUGGACCUUCCCAAGACCAUUUCGCCGCCUUCCGUGGGGCGGGAGGAGCAAAGAAGAAAAGAACAAACGGACUCAGAAUAAUCCCCCAAGAGCACAGACACGUUUUCAGACCAUAGUCCUGCUGAUUCCUGCUUCAGCUCCCAACCUGGUCUGCGGGGAACCCAGGCCACGUCACAGCCUGUACAUUGCAGCUGCCGUAUUCUGAGAGGAAUUGCUGGCCCCUUUCGUUACAACAGGUUCCCACGGGCCGUGUCUCCAGGACCGGGGGCUCGAUCUGAUGAUGAGUGAGCAGCAGGGCCACGUGGAGAGCCUCUU